rnacentral:rRNA from 5 species
AACUUCUGAAUGUUGACCUCGGAUCAGGUAGGAAUACCCGCUGAACUUAAGCAUAUCAAUAAGCGGAGGAAAAGAAACCAACAGGGAUUGCCCUAGUAACGGCGAGUGAAGCGGCAACAGCUCAAAUUUGAAAUCUGGCUUUCGGGCCCGAGUUGUAAUUUGUAGAGGAUGAUUUUGAUGCGGUGCCUUCCGAGUUCCCUGGAACGGGACGCCAUAGAGGGUGAGAGCCCCGUCUGGUUGGAUGCCAAAUCUCUGUAAAUCUCCUUCGACGAGUCGAGUAGUUUGGGAAUGCUGCUCUAAAUGGGAGGUAUAUGUCUUCUAAAGCUAAAUACCGGCCAGAGACCGAUAGCGCACAAGUAGAGUGAUCGAAAGAUGAAAAGCACUUUGAAAAGAGAGUUAAAAAGUACGUGAAAUUGUUGAAAGGGAAGCGUUUAUGACCAGACUUGGGCUUGGUUAAUCAUCUGGGGUUCUCUCCAGUGCACUUUUCCAGCCCAGGCCAGCAUCAGUUUUCGCCGGGGGAUAAAGACUUCGGGAAUGUGGCUCCCCUCGGGGAGUGUUAUAGCCCGUUGUGUAAUACCCUGGUGGGGACUGAGGUUCGCGCUUCUGCAAGGAUGCUGGCGUAAUGGUCAUCAACGACCCGUCU